rnacentral:rRNA from 1 species
UACGUAGGGUGCAAACGUUGCUCGGAAUUAUUGGGCGUAAAGCGCACGUAGGCGGCAUUGCAAGUCGGAUGUGAAAUCCCUCGGCUUAACCAAGGAAGUGCAUCCGAAACUGCUGUGCUUGAGUACUUAAGAGGAUCGCGGAAUUCCCGGUGUAGAGGUGAAAUUCGUAGAUAUCGGGAGGAACACCAGUGGCGAAGGCGGCGAUCUGGGAAGAUACUGACGCUGAGGUGCGAAAGCGUGGGGAGCAAACAGG